GCCCGCCUAGCUCAAUCGGAUAGAGCGUCAGACUUUUAUAAAGGGCGGGAUCUGAAGGCUGCGAGUUCGACCCUCGCGGUGGGCU